GUCAAAUUUGUAGGUUAUUUUUACUUUUACAUGUAUUUUCAAAAUGAUCAAUUAUCAUUCAAUCCAAUUGGAUGACUGUAUCCAAACUAUAUUGGAUUGUAGCUGGUAUUUACUGUAUAUUUUUCCCACUUUGUAAAAUUAGAAUCAACCUGCUCUGGAGAAAGAUCGAUAUAAGAUACGUCAGGCAUUUAUAGCUGCACCUGGAAAUUCCCUCAUUGUUGCUGACUAUGGACAGUUGGAACUUAGGAUUUUGGCUCAUAUUGCCAACUGUGAAAGCAUGUUGGAUGCCUUCAAAGCCAACUGCUAAAGGAUGCCUUUGCUUCUGAAAGAAGAAAGGCUAAAAUGCUCAACUUUUCUAUUGCAUAUGGAAAAGCGUCGGUUGGUCUUUCCCGGGAUUGGAAGGUUUCUGUGGAGGAAGCAAAAGAAACAGUUGUUCUAUGGUACAGAGAUAGAAAAGAAGUACUAAGAUGGCAAGAAAAACGUAAAAGAGAAGCUCAUGAAAAAGGGUGUGUUCGAACCUUAUUAGGACGAGCGCGCUGGUUUAAUUUCCUUCAGUGGUUGGUGCUUCUUAUUCUCAAAGAGGUCAUAUUGAAAGGGCAACCAUUAAUACUCCGCUGUUGAUGCCCUUUUACGGCAGAAAUAUACUGAGUGUUGAUCUUGUUGUUGAUGCUAAGUGUGCACAAAACUGGUACACUGCCAAGUAAAACAUGGUGUGGUCUCUUCUCUGCUAUGGAUGAAAAUUAUCAAUCAAUCAAUCAAGAGGAAGGAAGAAGAUUUGCUUGCACAACAGAAAGUACCAGAUGAUCAGAGGGAGGAGAUGUCUCAUUUCAAUGCUGACACGGGAUGAUAUCGAGUCCUUAGCAGACACGUUAGUCUUCCUCAUAAAAGGAAGGUUACCCUGGCAAGGUUAUCAGGUGAGAACAAAAGCUUUCUGGUAUGUAAGAAAAAGAUGGCUAUUUCCCCUGAGUUGAUGUGCUGCUUUUGUCCAGCACCAUUCAAGCAGUUUCUUGAAGUUGAUACAAAUAUGAAGUUUGAUGAAGAGCCAAACUAUGCCAAGCUGAUAUCAUAUUUUGAUAGCUUGAUAGAGCUAAUAGUACCAUUGAGACCAAUUAGAAUAGAUGGUGCUCUUAAGGUAAUCAAAAUAUAUUUAAUCUCUUCUGUUUGUUUUAUGUUCUUCCUUAAAACUAAUUUUUAGUCUUUUUAAAAAUACGUGGGGCAAAAAACGAGGAAAGACACCUAUUAAUAUAGAAGAAGACGAGCAACCAAAGAAAAAAGUACGAUAUAAAGUAGUCCAGCCAAUCGAUUGGAACACAUAAAUUACUUUAUUACAUUAAGAAUAAUUACUAUAUGAGUAUAAAUAUAUUGAGAUAAACUUACUGUUUAUUAUUGAAAA